AGGAGAAAGACUGAACUAUUUCUUAAAAACAUGGUUUUUAUUAAUCAAUAUGUGUGUAUGCCAGGAUGAAGUCAUGAGGAAGAGACGUUCUUGAAUUGCUUUACCACACUCUGCUCAAUGCGCCUUUCAUUCUCGUGACAUUUGUAGAGCUGCUCAGACACAUUCCUUCCACCACCACCACUCCUUUAUCCCGUGAAGAGUGAUCACUCUAGGGUUCUUUCGUAGCCCAGGGGAACAGCUUCAGCAGGAGACAUUGAGAGAGCCCCACAGCAGAAUAUCCCAUGGCUUAGUGGCUGGGGCACUCACCUGAGAGGUGGCAAAGCCCUAUUCAAAUUCUCUCUCCUUCCUAGACAGAGGAGGGACUUGGUCCCCCACAUCCCAGGCACCAUUUGCUGCAAUACCAGUCGCAGUUGGCAGUUUGUUAUUAAAAGCACCUGGCCAUUAAAGGAAGUCAGAUCACAGGGCAUGUUCUUUAGCUGUGCUGGUCUGAAAAUCACAGGCCAAAUUACUGCACUAAAGGAUAAAAGCUCACACAGAUCCUGAUUCAGCAAAGACAAGGAACUGAGACGUGCUAAGAUUCCCCUGGAAUGUUCCAUCGGGAGGAGAGGGGUUGCUUCUCUGCAGAAUGGAUAAGAGCCUUUGCCCAGCCUAAGCUCAUUGGUAAGCACCUGAGCUCUGUGGGUAUGUACCUGGCAUGCUAAGUGUGCUGUUGCUGC